rnacentral:misc_RNA from 1 species
AACGGUCUAUACCUGCGGUACCUGCGGAAGGAUCAUUACAGGACUCGCAAGACUCCUACAACCCUGUGAACUUAACUAUAAGCACGUUGCUUCGGCGGGUGUCUCGGCGAGGGUUCUCCCUCCCCGGGGCGCUAAGCCCGCCGGCAGCCUACUAUACUCUGUCUCUUUGCGUUGGCAUCUCGAGUACAAACAAACAAGUUAAAACUUUCAACAAUGGAUCUCUAGAUCGGAAGAGCACAC